AAACACUUUUAUUAGCACAAGAGAGUCUAUACACAAAGUCUACUCACAAUACAAUGUGUAGCAUCUAAGCUCAUAAAGUUUCUAUAUAUUGACCUUAGAAUAAGGAGUAAUAUAAAAUCAUUCGGAACAAAGUGUUUAAGACAGUUACAACGAACACAUAUUAGACGGUCUCACUCGUCUUAACACUACUAGAAUGUCCCUAGUAGAUGGUCUUUUUCUCUUUCACAUCAGCUGGUUUAACCAAGUUUGACUAAAAAGUAGACAGUCAGUUGUAGUAAAUGAUUUAGAGCCAACCAUCACAAAGUUGUUAAUGAAGACCGAAGGAAGAUCCAUCGGUAGAAGAUUCUUUGACACUUAAGUAAGAGUUAGAGAAACUGUAAAAUAUAAG
rnacentral:lncRNA from 1 species